rnacentral:rRNA from 1 species
CCUACGGGAGGCAGCAGUGAGGAAUAUUGGUCAAUGGGCGCGAGCCUGAACCAGCCAAGUCGCGUGAGGGAAGACGGUCCUAUGGAUUGUAAACCUCUUUUGUCGGGGAGACAAAGACGCCACGCGUGGCGUUCCGCGCGUACCCGACACAAAAGCAUCGGCUAACUCCGUGCCAGCAGCCGCGGUAAUACGGAGGAUGCGGGCGUUAUCCGGUUUUAUUGGGUUUAAAGGGUUCGCAGGCGGAAGAGCAAUUCAGCGGUAAAAGUGUGGGGCUCAACCUCUACGAGCCGUUGAAACUGGUUUUCUUGAGUGAGCGAGAAGUAUGCGGAAUGCGUGGUGUAGCGGUGAAAUGCAUAGAUAUCACGCAGAACUCCGAUUGCGAAGGCAGCAUACCGGCGCUCAACUGACGCUCAGGCACGAAAGUGUGGGUAUCGAACAGGAUUAGAUACCCUGGUAGUC